rnacentral:rRNA from 1 species
GAUGAACGCUGACAGAAUGCUUAACACAUGCAAGUCAUUGGCGAAGCUGCGCUUGCGCAGUCUAGCCAAGGCGGACGGGUGAGUAACGCGUCAGGAACUUGCCCUGCAGACAGGGAUAACAGACGGAAACGACUGAUAACACCUGGUAUUGUCAGGCUGGCGCAUGCCGGCCUGAUGAAAGGAGACGCUGCAGGAGAGCCUUGCGUCCUAUUAGCUAGUUGGUGGGGUAACGGCCCACCAAGGCGAUGAUAGGUAGCCGGCCUGAGAAGGUGAACGGCCACAAGGGGACUGAGAUACGGCCCUUACUCCUACGGGAGGCAGCAGUGGGGAAUAUUGGACAAUGGGGGCAACCCUGAUCCAGCAAUUCUGUGUGCACGAAGAAGGUUUUCGGAUUGUAAAGUGCUUUCAGCAGGGAAGAAGAAAGUGACGGUACCUGCAGAAGAAGCGACGGCUAAAUACGUG